rnacentral:rRNA from 1 species
CUCCUCAAUGUUCUGGGCGACACGCGCACUACAAUGUCAGUGAGAACAAGAUUACCGACCUUCUGAUCGGACCCACUUGAUUCAAAAGAGGGGGGAAACACCGGAAUCACAUCGACCCGCUUGGGACCGAGUAUUGCAAUUAUUGGUCGCGCAACGAGGAAUGUCUCGUAGGCGCAGCUCAUCAAACUGUGCCGAUUACGUCCCUGCCAUUUGUACACACCGCCCGUCGUUGUUUCCGAUGAUGGUGCAAUACAGGUGAUCGGACAGACGAGCCUCCGGCUUGUUUGAAAGUUCACCGAUAUUUCUUCAAUAGAGGAAGUAAAAGUCGUAACA